ACAACACAAAACAAAAAUUUCCAGUCGUACUAAAAAUAUUUAUUUUUUUUAUUUGGCACAAACAAUAUUUUUUUUGAACUGAUUUGCUAGUAGUAUAUUCGCUAUUCUCAGAUGGUACCAAUCAAUAAAUUGAUUGCAGUUUGCAUCUGCUUAUUACUUCAAUAAUAAACCGUGCCCAUUUUUUUUAUUGUGAUUUUUGAUUUGACUCAAAUCAAGUUGAUGUUUGAUGCCAAUUGGGGUCUAUUUUUAUUAUGUUUCAUUUGUUAAGGACUUAAAUAAUCGUUGCUCUUGCGAUGAAGUUGGCGUCCUAGCUAUCAAAUGAUAGCAAUUAUAUUUUUUGUUAUGUUUAAUGAAUGUCGUUUGGGCUUAAAUAAUCGUUGCUCUUGCGAUUUGACUGGCGUCCUAGGCUUCAAAUGAUAUUCAUUAUAUAUUUUCUGCAAAAAUAAAUUGAUUCAACUUGAAUUAAAAUCAAAAA